AUUGAACGCUGGCGGCAUGCCUUACACAUGCAAGUCGAACGGCAGCACGGGAGCAAUCCUGGUGGCGAGUGGCGAACGGGUGAGUAAUGUAUCGGAACGUGCCCAGUCGUGGGGGAUAACGUAGCGAAAGCUACGCUAAUACCGCAUACGAUCUAUGGAUGAAAGCGGGGGAUCGCAAGACCUCGCGCGAUUGGAACGGCCGAUAUCAGAUUAGGUAGUUGGGGGGGUAAAGGCUCACCAAGCCGACGAUCUGUAGCUGGUCUGAGAGGACGACCGGCCACACUGGGACUGAGACACGGCCCAGACUCCUACGGGAGGCAGCAGUGGGGAAUUUUGGACAAUGGGCGAAAGCCUGAUCCAGCAAUGCCGCGUGCAGGAUGAAGGCCUUCGGGUUGUAAACUGCUUUUGUACGGAACGAAACGGCGAACUCUAAUACAGUUUGCUAAUGACGGUACCGUAAGAAUAAGCACCGGCUAACUACGUGCCAGCCGCCGCCGUAA
rnacentral:rRNA from 1 species